rnacentral:sRNA from 1 species
UUUUUUCUUUCUUCUUCUG